UACAGAGGUCCCGAGCGUUGUUCGGAUUCAUUGGGCGUAAAGGGUGCGUAGGCGGCGGGGCAAGUCUGAUGUGAAAUCCCGGGGCUCAACCCCGGAACUGCAUUGGAUACUGCCUUGCUCGAGUACUGGAGAGGGAACUGGAAUUUACGGUGUAGCAGUGAAAUGCGUAGAGAUCGUAAGGAAGGCCAGUGGCGAAGGCGGCCUGCUGGGCAGUUACUGACACUGAGGUGCGAAAGCGUGGGGAUCAAACAGG
rnacentral:rRNA from 1 species